GGUCAAAAUUAGUAAACUUUAUUUAAACUUCAAAAAAAUAAAAUAACAGACAAAAGGCAGCUUUAGCUUUGUUCUUCCCGAGGAUCAGCUGUAACCACUCACAGCAGGAACUACCCCUAAGUUAAAAUACCCUUUACCCGCCCCGCAUCAAGCCACAGGCAAGGAAGGAUCUUCAAUUUGGGGACAGGCAGGGGGUGGGUGGGGUAGGAGUGAGAACACCACUGGGCCAGUGAGUUCUAACAGCACAAGUGGAGAACAAGACAAGAGUCUGCAUCAGAAACGGGAUCCAGAAGUUCACCGGGAGCUCUGCCACAAGGCAUUUAUGUACAACGGAGCUGGGCUGGGGGUGACGCCCCGUGAGGGAGGCAAGAACUGCACAGCAGCACGGGCAAGCUGCCCUGGGCCCUAGCCCGCUGCCGCACCCCACGUGCCCUCAGUUCUCCUCGUCACUGUCAUCCGGGCUGAUAGCCGGGCUUGUGAGACUGUAGGUGGGGCUGGUGGGCGAGUAACCAGGGGAAGUGGGAGAGUAGGUUGAGCCUUUGGGGGAGGUGGGCGAGUAGGUGGGGCUGGUGGGCGAGUACUUGGGGGAAGUGGGCGAGUAAGUGGGGCUAGUAGGUGAGUACUUGGGAGAGGUUGGGGUGUAGACUGGAGAGGUUGGGGAAUAAGUAGGAGAUGUUGGGGAGUAUUUUGGGGUGGUGGGUGAAUAGGUGGGACUGUAGGUGAAUAGCUGGGUGAUGUCGGGCUGUAGCUGGGUGAUGUUGGGGUGUAAUUGGGACUGGUUGGAGAAUAGUUCGGGCUGGUGGGUGAGUAACUUGGGGAAGUGGGUGAGUAGCUGGGGGAGGUGGGUGAAUAGCUUGGAGAGGUAGGUGAGUAGCUGGGAGAAGUGGGAGAAUAGCUGGGUGAAGUUGGCGAGUAGCUGGGAGAUGUCGGCGAGUAGCUGGGAGACGUUGGCGAGUAGCUAGGGGAAGUGGGCGAGUAGCUAGGGGAAGUGGGUGAGUAGCUGGGAGAGGUGGGCGAGUAGCUGGGAGAGGUGGGCGAGUAGCUGGGAGAGGUGGGUGAGUAGCUGGGAGAGGUCGGUGAGUAGCUGGGUGACGUUGGCGAAUAGCUGGGUGAUGUGGGACUAUAGUUGGG
rnacentral:lncRNA from 1 species